GGCAGGAUGGCCGAGCGGUUAAGGCGCCUGAUUAGGUCCAGGUUCUUUCGGGAGCGAGGGUUCGAAUCCCUCUUCUGUCG